GCCUGGGUGGCGAAACUGGUAGACGCGCCGGAUUCAAAAUCCGGUUCCUUAACGGGAGUGUCGGUUCGAGUCCGACCCCAGGUACCA
rnacentral:tRNA from 1 species